AACGAACGCUGGCGGCAGGCCUAACACAUGCAAGUCGAACGACACAGUGGCAGACGGGUGAGUAACGCGUGGGAACGUGCCCUUCAGUACGGAAUAGCUUCUGGAAACGGAAGGUAAUACCGUAUACGCCCUCCGGGGGAAAGAUUUAUCGCUGAAGGAUCGGCCCGCGUUAGAUUAGCUUGUUGGUGAGGUAAUGGCUCACCAAGGCGACGAUCUAUAGCUGGUCUGAGAGGAUGAUCAGCCACACUGGGACUGAGACACGGCCCAGACUCCUACGGGAGGCAGCAGUGGGGAAUCUUGCACAAUGGGCGAAAGCCUGAUGCAGCCAUGCCGCGUGAAUGAUGAAGGCCCUAGGGUUGUAAAAUUCUUUCAUCAGGGACGAUAAUGACGGUACCUGAAGAAGAAGCCCCGGCUAACUUCGUGCCAGCAGCCGCGGUAAUACGAAGGGGGCUAGCGUUGUUCGGAAUUACUGGGCGUAAAGCGCGCGUAGGCGGACUAUUAAGCCAGAUGUGAAAUCCCGGGGCUCAACCUCGGAACUGCAUUUGGAACUGGUAGUCUAGAGGCCAGGAGAGGUUAGUGGAAUGCCGAGUGUAGAGGUGAAAUUCGUAGAUAUUCGGUGGAACACCAGUGGCGAACGCGACUGACUGGACUGGUACUGACGCUGAGUGCGAAAGUGUGGGGAGCAAACAGGAUUAGAUACCCUGGUAGUCCACACCGUAACGAUGAGUGCUAGUUGUCGCAGCAUGCCUGUCGUGACGCAGCUAACGCAUAGCACCUCCGCCUGGGGAGU
rnacentral:rRNA from 1 species